CCUACGGGAGGCAGCAGUGAGGAAUAUUGGUCAAUGGCCGGAAGGCUGAACCAGCCAUGCCGCGUGAAGGUCAGUGCCCUAUGGGCGUUAAACUUCUUUUGUGCGGGAGCAAUAAUGGUCACGUGUGGCCAGACGAGAGUACCGUACGAAUAAGCAUCGGCUAACUCCGUGCCAGCAGCCGCGGUAAUACGGGGGAUGCAAGCGUUAUUCGGAUUUAUUGGGUUUAAAGGGUGCGUAGGCUGUGAGGUAAGUCAGCGGGGAAAUGCCCCCGCUCAACGGGGUGAAGUGCCAUUGAUACUGGCUUGCUGGAGUGCGGAUGACGUGGGAGGAAUGUGUGGUGUAGCGGUGAAAUGCAUAGAUAUCACACAGAACACCGAUUGCGAAGGCAUCUCACGAAUCCGCGAUUGACGCUGAUGCACGAAAGCGUGGGUAUCAAACAGGAUUAGAUACCCGGGUAGUC
rnacentral:rRNA from 1 species